CGCGUGGGAACAUACCCUCCGGUUCGGAAUAGCUCAGGGAAACUUGGAUUAAUACCGGAUACGGCCUGGCGGCGAAAGAUUUAUCGCCGGAGGAUUGGCCCGCGUUCGAUUAGCUAGUUGGCGAGGUAACGGCUCACCAAGGCGACGAUCGAUAGCUGGUCUGAGAGGAUGAUCAGCCACAUUGGGACUGAGACACGGCCCAAACUCCUACGGGAGGCAGCAGUGGGGAAUAUUGGACAAUGGGCGCAAGCCUGAUCCAGCCAUGCCGCGUGAGUGAUGAAGGCCUUAGGGUUGUAAAGC
rnacentral:rRNA from 1 species